UGCAACCUCGUCAACUGUGAAAAGGAAAGUGAGGAUUGCACGAUGGUCCAGUGUGAUUCUUGCAAGAGGUGGGCACAUAUGCCCUGCAUUACAGAAGGAACCAAUCAAGACUACCUGACUGAUGA